UAAAUUUAAAAGGAUUUUUUACACAUUUGUAUUGAUGGAAAAGCAUGUUUAUACGUUAAAGCAAACAUUUAUUUGAUCACUAGAUUCAAGACUAGGUGUAUCAAACCACUUUUGACACUUUAAAAACCCAAUUUCAUCAACCUAGAGGUCUAAAAUUGAAUUUACCACUUAGAAUGUGUUUUUAGCAAAUUUAGCACUUCUAACAAGUCUCAAAUGACUCAAUCAAAUUGUCUCCACUGCCCACUUACACCCUAGACCUCAGUUACUCCAAAACACCCUCUCACUUCCUCUAAACUCACUCAGAACACUAGUUUUCCUCAACCUAAGAACUCAACUCCACUUCUACCAUUUAAAACCUCAUUUUAACCAAUUUUAUAAUCCUAAGAAGUUACAAUUAACUUGCCUAAGCUGCCUCAACAGUUCAAAUAUGCCCAAGACCCCUAACUCUAAAAUUCCCCACCUUACUUCCUCUUAAAAGACCCCAAAACAAUACCAAUUUCCUAAGUAUGAUGCCUAAUC
rnacentral:lncRNA from 1 species